AGUCAAGUAAUUAAGUGCAUGUGGUGGAUGCCUUGGCAGUCAGAGGCGAUGAAAGACGUGAUAGCCUGCGAAAAGCUCCGGGGAGGCGGCAAAUAUCCUUUGAUCCGGAGAUGUCUGAAUGGGGGAACCCACCUACUUUAAGGUAGGUAUUGCAACAUGAAUACAUAGUGUUGCAAGGCGAACGAGGGGAAGUGAAACAUCUCAGUACCCUUAGGAAAAGAAAUCAAUUGAGAUUCCCUCAGUAGCGGCGAGCGAACGGGGAUCAGCCCAUUAAGUUAUGUGUGUUUUAGUGGAACGCUCUGGGAAGUGCGAACGUAGAGGGUGAUAUUCCCGUACACGAAAGGGCACACAUAAUGAUGACGAGUAGGGCGAGGCACGUGAAACCUUGUCUGAAUAUGGGGGGACCAUCCUCCAAGGCUAAAUACUCCUGACUGACCGAUAGUGAACCAGUACCGUGAGGGAAAGGCGAAAAGAACCCCUGUGAGGGGAGUGAAAUAGAUCCUGAAACCGCAUGCAUACAAGCAGUGGGAGCACCUUCGUGGUGUGACUGCGUACCUUUUGUAUAAUGGGUCAGCGACUUAUAUUCAGUAGCGAGGUUAACCGUAUAGGGGAGCCGUAGAGAAAUCGAGUCUUAAUAGGGCGUUUAGUUGCUGGGUAUAGACCCGAAACCAGGCGAUCUAUCCAUGAGCAGGUUGAAGGUUGGGUAACACUAACUGGAGGACCGAACCCACUGUCGUUGAAAAGCCAGGGGAUGACUUGUGGAUAGGGGUGAAAGGCUAAUCAAGCCUGGUGAUAGCUGGUUCUCCCCGAAAGCUAUUUAGGUAGCGCCUCGGACGAAUACCAUAGGGGGUAGAGCACUGUUUCGGCUAGGGGGUCAUCCCGACUUACCAAACCGAUGCAAACUCCGAAUACCUAUGAGUACUAUCCGGGAGACAGACUGCGGGUGCUAACGUCCGUAGUCAAGAGGAAAACAAUCCAGACCGCCAGCUAAGGCCCCAAAAUCAUAGUUAAGUGGGAAACGAUGUGGGAAGGCAUAGACAGCUAGGAGGUUGGCUUAGAAGCAGCCACCCUUUAAAGAAAGCGUAAUAGCUCACUAGUCGAGUCGGCCUGCGCGGAAGAUGUAACGGGGCUAAAACUAUGUGCCGAAGCUGCGGAUGUAUACUUUGUAUACGUGGUAGGGGAGCGUUCUGUAAGCCGAUGAAGGUGUGUUGAGAAGCAUGCUGGAGGUAUCAGAAGUGCGAAUGCUGACGUGAGUAACGACAAAACGGGUGAAAAACCCGUUCGCCGAAAGACCAAGGGUUCCAGUCCAACGUUAAUCGGGGCUGGGUGAGUCGACCCCUAAGGCGAGGCCGAAAGGCGUAGUCGAUGGGAAAAUGGUUAAUAUUCCAUUACUUCUGUGUAAUGCGAUGAGAGGACGGAGAAGGCUAAAUCAGCCUGGCGUUGGUUGUCCAGGUGAAAGGAUGUAGGCAUGUAUCUUAGGCAAAUCCGGGGUACUCUAUGCUGAGAUCUGAUAGCAAGCUGUACUUGUACAGCGAAGUGGUUGAUGCCAUGCUUCCAGGAAAAGUCUCUAAGCUUCAGUUACACAGGAAUCGUACCCGAAACCGACACAGGUGGUCAGGUCGAGUAGACCAAGGCGCUUGAGAGAACUCUGCUGAAGGAACUAGGCAAAAUGGUACCGUAACUUCGGGAGAAGGUACGCUGUUGUUGGUGAUGGAACUCGCUUCCUGAGCUGACGACAGCCGCAGAAACCAGGCCGCUGCAACUGUUUAUUAAAAACAUAGCACUCUGCAAACACGAAAGUGGACGUAUAGGGUGUGAUGCCUGCCCGGUGCUGGAAGGUUAAUUGAUGGGGUUAGCGUAAGCGAAGCUCUUGAUCGAAGCCCCAGUAAACGGCGGCCGUAACUAUAACGGUCCUAAGGUAGCGAAAUUCCUUGUCGGGUAAGUUCCGACCUGCACGAAUGGCAUAAUGAUGGCGGCGCUGUCUCCAGCAGAGGCUCAGUGAAAUCGAAAUCGCUGUGAAGAUGCAGUGUACCCGCGGCUAGACGGAAAGACCCCGUGAACCUUUACUGCAGCUUGACACUGAACUUUGACCUUACUUGUGUAGGAUAGGUGGGAGGCUUUGAAGCUGGAACGCUAGUUCCAGUGGAGCCGUCCUUGAAAUACCACCCUGGUAAUGUUGAGGUUCUAACUCUGUCCCGUGAUCCGGGACGAGGACCGUGUCUGGUGGGUAGUUUGACUGGGGCGGUCUCCUCCUAAAGAGUAACGGAGGAGUAC
rnacentral:rRNA from 1 species